CACAAGCGGUGGAUGAUGUGGUAUUAAUUCGAUGCAACGCGAAAACCUUACCUACCCUUGACAUGUCAGGAAUCCUGAAGAGAUUUGGGAGUGCUCGCAAGAGAGCCUGAACACAGGUGCUGCAUGGCUGUCGUCAGCUCGUGUCGUGAGAUGUUGGGUUAAGUCCCGCAACGAGCGCAACCCUUGUCAUUAAUUGCCAUCAUUCAGUUGGGCACUUUUAAUGAGACUGCCGGUGACAAACCGGAGGAAGGUGGGGAUGACGUCAAGUCCUCAUGGCCCUUAUGGGUAGGGCUUCACACGUCAUACAAUGGUCGGUCCAGAGGGUUGCCAACCCGCGAGGGGGAGCCAAUCUCAGAAAGCCGAUCGUAGUCCGGAUCGCAGUCUGCAACUCGACUGCGUGAAGUCGGAAUCGCUAGUAAUCGCGGAUCAGCAUGUCGCGGUGAAUACGUUCC
rnacentral:rRNA from 1 species